ACUCUGGUAUUGAUUGGUGCUUGCAUCAUGAUUUACAUUUGAGUGAGUGGCGAACUGGUGAGUAACACGUGGGAAACCUGCCCAGAAGCGGGGGAUAACACCUGGAAACAGAUGCUAAUACCGCAUAACAACUUGGACCGCAUGGUCCGAGUUUGAAAGAUGGCUUCGGCUAUCACUUUUGGAUGGUCCCGCGGCGUAUUAGCUAGAUGGUGGGGUAACGGCUCACCAUGGCAAUGAUACGUAGCCGACCUGAGAGGGUAAUCGGCCACAUUGGGACUGAGACACGGCCCAAACUCCUACGGGAGGCAGCAGUAGGGAAUCUUCCACAAUGGACGAAAGUCUGAUGGAGCAACGCCGCGUGAGUGAAGAAGGGUUUCGGCUCGUAAAACUCUGUUGUUAAAGAAGAACAUAUCUGAGAGUAACUGUUCAGGUAUUGACGGUAUUUAACCAGAAAGCCACGGCUAACUACGUGCCAGCAGCCGCGGUAAUACGUAGGUGGCAAGCGUUGUCCGGAUUUAUUGGGCGUAAAGCGAGCGCAGGCGGUUUUUUAAGUCUGAUGUGAAAGCCUUCGGCUCAACCGAAGAAGUGCAUCGGAAACUGGGAAACUUGAGUGCAGAAGAGGACAGUGGAACUCCAUGUGUAGCGGUGAAAUGCGUAGAUAUAUGGAAGAACACCAGUGGCGAAGGCGGCUGUCUGGUCUGUAACUGACGCUGAGGCUCGAAAGUAUGGGUAGCAAACAGGAUUAGAUACCCUGGUAGUCCAUACCGUAAACGAUGAAUGCUAAGUGUUGGGAGGGUUUCCGCCCUUCAGUGCUGCAGCUAACGCAUUAAGCAUUCCGCCUGGGGGAGUACGGCCGCAAGGCUGAAACUCAAAGGAAUUGACGGGGGCCCGCACAAGCGGUGGA
rnacentral:rRNA from 2 species